AUUAGAAGCUGACUCUGCGCCGCUCCGCUCCUCUGUAGUGGACACGCACCGUACGAACGCGUCCUUACAAUAACCUUUAUGGUUUUACCAUUCUAGAAAUGUUUGAUUUUGCAAUUUAAUAACGGAGGUGGCUGAUUAAGGCUGAAUGAAUUUUGACGGAAGAAUGAUUCAUUUUCAAUUAUAGGUUUGCUAUGGUCAUCUUUCAAGACCUCUGGGAGCCCUUUUUGGAGGACCUGAAGAAGGCCAAAUUCAUUAGUGUGCUGGCAGAUGCCGCCACUGAUGCAAGUGUCCGUGACCUGGAAGGGGUUUACAUUCGGAUGCUAAAGGAAGGGAGGCCUAAGAAUGUUUUCUUGGCUGUAGAGGAGCUGCACCAUGCGACAGCAGUUGGUCACCGAGAAGCUUUAAAUGCAGGUUAAUAGUGAUUUGAGGAUAUUUGAUGGUUUCAUAACUAUAUGUUUGGUAUGAUUUAAAAAUAGAGCUUAUUUAAUAAUGACACUGUUAACAGUUUUUCAAAAAGUUGGCCUCCCAGACUGGAAGGAGAAGCUGGUUGGCCUGGGUUCAGAUGGAGCUCCAGUGAUGGUUGGGAAACGUGGGGGAGUCUCCACUCUCCUCCGAGAAGAGAUACCUCACCUCAUAAACAUCCAGUGCCUGGGCCACGGAUUGGAACUUGCAGCCAUGGAUGCCAUACAUAGGGAUGAUAGGAUGAAGAAGGUAAGUAUCUGUGCGUGAACUAAUUUCAAAAGAAUUAAUUCGCAACCCAGUAAUGUUUUACUGCCUAUACGAACUUUCCUUUUCAUGCAGGUGUCUGAGCUCCUCCGAGGCUUGUAUAAGCAGUAUCAUUACUCGCCUAAAGCUUGGAGGGAGCUUAAAGCACUCGGUGAAGUCCUCCAGAAGAAGGUGUGGAAGCCGACAAACCUGGGAGGAACGAGGUGGCUACCACAUGUGGAGAGAGCUCUUACGACGCUUCUCAAGGACUAUCCUGUCGUGUUUGCUCACAUGGAGAACACUAUUGAGACCAGGCAAGUCCAUUAAAAAAAAAUUACACCAGCUACACAGUUUGCAUUUAUAGUUAUCUAUUAUUGAACAACUUGAACUUGUGUUGUCUUUCCAGAUCUGCUAGCGCAGACAUGAUUGGGAGGGCGAAGCAGUGUGUGCAAGUUCUAAUGGACUACAGCCAACUCCUUUUCAUCGUCCUUGUCCAGGACAUCCUGAAAGUUUUGAGCUGAGUGAAAAGUCAACUCUUGGAGUCCGUGAUAGAGAGCCUCACAACCAGAUUCAAGGACCUAGAGACACACAAGAUCCUUCAAGCGGCUGCAAAGUUGGUGGAUCCCAGAGAGUGGCCAAGAGACGAGGCUGAGCUGGCCAGCUAUGGUGUAGAACAUAUUUUGGAUGUUGUGGGCUGCGGCAGGCGUCAGGCACGGUACCAGGAGUGGCCCAAUGCAAAGGUUCUAAUUAAACAGCUGCCCCAGGCCCAACAGAGCACUGCUUGGACAGACUUCAUGGCUGACCCAGACAGACAGGAGACCUUCCCCAAUCUACUGAUGGUAGUUGAACUCGUCCUGGUGCUCCCUAUGUCAACAGCUGCAUGUGAACGAGGAUUCAGCGCGAUGAAGAGAAUCAAAACUGAUUGGAGAAGCAGCCUUUCAGUAGAAAUGCUGUGGAAGCUUUUGUAGGUUAGCAUUGAGGGGCCAGAGGUUGCACAGUUUCAGCCAGACAGAGUAGUGCAGAGAUGGCUGUCAGCAGGGGAGAGAGCACUUCAUGUUUGAAGAUAUAAAAGUAAAUAGUUUUUCAGAUUAUUAAAUUAUUAUUUUUUUCAUUAGAAAUGUGAUUUCAAUGUUGUACUUUGUACAUCCAGGAUGGAUAUAAACAAAUGGUGUUUAAUAAAUGGACGGUUAAACAAUGUUAACAGAGCCUGUUUGUUUUGUAACAAUGAACUUUUGAAGGAGGGCCAGUAAAAAUGGUCUUCGCGCCAGUAAGUUUCAAAUCCACUGGCCCGGUGGGGCCAACAGCAGAACGGUUAUCCAAAUACUCUUAUCUUCCGAAUAAAAGUACCCCCCGGAAUAAAAGUACCCCCCGGAAAAUUGCCAAAUCAGCACGCAAACCAUAUGUGUCCAUAUGCUAUCAAAAUUUGUUCCUAUCAGUGUAGGUGUGCAUCUUUUACUGUCACUUGCAAUCAGGAGUAGAAAUGGACAGCAAAUAUACCAUUGCUAGGAAAAAACUUAAACACUUGUAGUUUGGAAAUACAUAUUCAUUAUUAGAAAUUUUCAAAAAAGAGGCUGUUACAAAUAUAUGGUAGUACUUUUCCUCAAAAACUUACAGUCAACAUGACUGCAACAUAACAUGAAAA